AUUGAACGCUGGCGGCAGGCCUAACACAUGCAAGUCGAGCGGAUGAAGGGAGCUUGCUCCUGGAUUCAGCGGCGGACGGGUGAGUAAUGCCUAGGAAUCUGCCUGGUAGUGGGGGAUAACGUCCGGAAACGGGCGCUAAUACCGCAUACGUCCUGAGGGAGAAAGUGGGGGAUCUUCGGACCUCACGCUAUCAGAUGAGCCUAGGUCGGAUUAGCUAGUUGGUGGGGUAAAGGCCUACCAAGGCGACGAUCCGUAACUGGUCUGAGAGGAUGAUCAGUCACACUGGAACUGAGACGCGGUCCAGACUCCUACGGGAGGCAGCAGUGGGGAAUAUUGGACAAUGGGCGAAAGCCUGAUCCAGCCAUGCCGCGUGUGUGAAGAAGGUCUUCGGAUUGUAAAGCACUUUAAGUUGGGAGGAGGGGCAGUAAGUUAAUACCUUGCUGUUUUGACGUUACCAACAGAAUAAGCACCGGCUAACUUCGUG
rnacentral:rRNA from 1 species